GGCCUCGUAGCUCAAUAGGCUAGAUCGUUGGCUGUCCCCUUGCAGGCGUGGGUUCGAAUCCCACCGUGGCCG
rnacentral:tRNA from 1 species